CUUGGCUGAUUUCCUUUUCUAGCCAUGCAGUGAUGGACCUGCUGGUUGAACUUUGCCUUCAGAACCACCUGAAUCCAUCCCACCAUGCCUUGGAGAUCUGGUCUUCAGAAAACCAACAGCCUUUGAGUUUUAAGCCAAAUACUUUAGUUGGGACUCUGGAUGUGCACACUGUCAUCGUGAAAGAAAAGGUUUUGGAUGAGAAGAAUAAGAAUGUUCCAUCCAAGCUGCCUGAGAAAUCAGUGCUUCUGGUGGUGAACUACCUGAGAACACAAAAGACAGUUGUGCGUGUGAGCCCUGAGGUGCCACUCCAGAACAUUCUCCCGGCCAUCUGUGCAAAGUGUGAGGUCAGCCCCGAGCACGUGGUCCUGCUCCGGGACAACAUUGCUGGUGAAGAGCUGGAGCUCUCCAAGUCCCUGAACGAGCUGGGCAUCAAGGAGCUCUAUGCCUGGGACAACAAGAGAGUUCUUCUGACCAAAACCCAAUCGGAGCCUUCCUUGAGACACCCAGAAACCUUUAGAAAAGCAUCACUUGGCAAUGAUGAGACAGAUAAAGAGAAGAAAAAAUUUCUGGAGUUCUUCAGAGUUCAUAAAAGAAGCAAUAGUAAGGUGGAGCAGCCAAGUCUGUCACCUGUGGACAGUGAAGAAGACACUUCCAGGUCCCUGGGCCAGGGCCUGAAUGGCUGCUUAACAAUGCCAAAUUCUCCAUCCUCAAAGUCACGUUCUCUCAUGCUGGGCCCAUCCCUGUCCCUCAGCAACAUCUCAGGGGUGUCUGUGAAGUCAGACAUGAAGAAGCGCCGGGCACCACCACCUCCCUCGCUGCCUGGGGCCCGGGCACCCUCGCAAGACAGAGCAUCGGAAAAGAUGUCUCUGGGGUCACAGAUUGAUCUUCAGAAGAAAAAGCGGCGGGCACCAGCUCCCCCACCACCUCAGCCCCCUCCGUUGAAUCCCUUGGUCCCCAACCGCCUGGAGGACAAGGAGGAAAAGAGGAAGAGCACCAUGGGUGUCCAACGGCAGGUGCCCCAAAAGCCUCCCAGAGGCAGCACUCGGGGGGCCCCACGAUUAGUGCUGCCCCCACCUCCACCUUACCCUCCUCCCGACACAGAUGUGGCAGAGCCUCUGGGCUUUUCCGGGGAAGGUGCUGGUGCCCAGGCCUCAGACCCGAGACCCACACUGAACCUGACCCUGGAACCCAGGGGUCCCUGUAGCACCGACGGGAUCCCACCAGCACCGUCAGAGGCUGAGGAGACUGUGUCUGUAGGCAGCUGUUUCGCCUCAGAGGACACAACAGAAGACUCGGGGGUGAUGAGCUCACCCUCGGACAUCAUCUCUCUUGACUCCCAGCAUGACAGCACCAAGUCCAGAGACAAGUGGGCCACAGACCAAGAAGACUGCAGUGACCAGGACCUGGCCAGCAGCCCAGACCCAGUGCCCCAGAAGAGCUCUUCCUGGGAGAGUAACAAAUCCGGGAGCUGGCAUCCCAGAGCCGAAAGAACUGCUGCAAUCUCAAAUGAUGAAGAGAAUGUGUUUAUCUCUGGACAGUUCCAGAAGGUGCUCACAGAGCUGGAUGAAGACCUGGAAGACAUGGAGGAGACUUACGAGACAGACAGCAUCUCUCUCAGCAACUCUGUCAAUGGUGUAUCAGGCCACUGCACCCAGAACACCACAGCCCCUGGCAGUGAUGAGGACACCAUCCCAGUCACAUUCAUCGGGGAAGUCUUAGAUGACCCCGCAGACUCAGACCAGUUUUCCAACAGAAACAACAAUGCCGGUUCUUUUGACCUGAGUAGAGCCCCCCAGCCGUGUUAUCAGGCUGAGCACAGCCGGAAGCCUGCUUGGAAGAGAGAGGAAGUGUCCAGCUCCUGGGUUCACUCCCAGGACAGACAGAAGGAGAUCAAACUGGCCUCCAGCACCCAGAAAGAUAGGAGCUCGGCUGGAGUGGAACCCAGGGCCACAGGUGCUACCAAGGUCUGCAGACAGGACCUGAGUGCAAAGCAGCAAGACCAGGAACCAGGUCCCAUUCCCAGCUUGAAGACGCAGGUCAAGGAGAGAGAGAGCUCACAGCCACCCAGAGAGAAGGAAGGAGACAGCAAGAAGAAUGGUGCCCUGGUCCCACCAUCAUGGUACCAACGAGACCAGAAUGCAGGGGGCAGUUACAGGCUGAGGCAUGGCCUCACCACAUAUAAAAUUGUCCCUCCUAGAUCAGAGAUGAGGUGCUAUGACAGAGGGGUAUCCCUCUCGACAGGCGCAAUCAAGAUUGACGAGCUGGGCAACCUGGUAAGUCCCCAUACAGGAGGCAGUAGCAGGACUGUGGCUGUGAAGGCAGAAGUCCAGCCCUCAGGGAACAUCAGGGAUUUCUGGAGAACCAGCUCUGUGGAAAGACAUGUGAGCCAGUUCUCCCAAGCCCCAGAGGGCUCUGCCAAGGAGGUAUCCACUGUCUCCAUGACAGCCAGGCCACAGGAAGAAAGCAAACCCAGAACAGACCCCACCUGCCCUGGCCCCCAAGGGGCAGCCCACCAGGAAAACAACAGGAAACACAUAGAAGAGGUGAAAAGUCAGCAGCCCAGGGCAACAACCACCUGCCAGCGCAAGGCUGCAGCAGGGAACAGCACAGAGGUCUCCUUUCUCAAGCCCCAAAGAAGGACAUCCAGUCAGUACGUGGCCUCUGCCAUUGCCAAACGGAUAGGGCCCCCCAAGACUCCAGCUGAUGUUGCGACAAGGUUUAAUAACGCCCAGAAAGCCUGUGAAGGCGGCAAAGGCAGACCUGCAGCCCUGAGCACCAGUGAAAGCCCCAGCCCCUCCCAGAUACCCAAAGAUGAUGCAAAGCCACCCCCAGGCUGCCUUCGGGGCCCCAACAGGGAAGAAUCAGCCAUAACAUCCUGUCCCAGAGUGGAAGGCAGCAACCCUCAAGUGAAGUCACCUACUCAGGACAACCCCACCGACACCCACCAACACACAAGGUCCUAUGUCACAGCUUCCCAGUGGGAUUGUGCUUCUUCAGGGCACAGCCAGGGGUGGAUUGGGAAGCAAAGCAUGAGUCACCAAGGGGCCAGCUCAGCCUCCAACUCCAGGACCCUGGCACCUAGCUCAGGGAACACUCAAACUUCAGGCAAAGCCCCAGAGAAUGGCCCCAGGUGGGGUCCCAUCUCCAGUGAGCCUCCCCGCUCUCCCACUGGGCCCUCCACAAAUGGUCAUACAGAGUGGGGCCCCCCAGCAAUGAGGGAGAAACCAGCAGUGUCCUGCCCUGACCAGCAGGAGGCUGACAGUGCUUUGCCAGCCAGCAUCUUUGGGCCAAAGAAGAAGUUCCGCCCAGUGGUGCAGAGGCCAGCACCCAAGGACACAUCCCUGCACAGUGCCCUGAUGGAGGCCAUCCACUCAGCAGGAGGAAGGGAGCAGCUUCGCAAGACACCAGAGCACUCUGAGGAGAGGGGACCAAAGAAACCAUCCUACAUAGAGUCCGAGAGCGAGCGCUCGGCAUUGCUGGCAGCCAUCCGAGGACACAGAGGCACCUGCAGCCUGCGCAAGGUGUCAUCUUUAGCCUCUGAGGAGCUCCAAGGCUUCCGAGAUGCCUCACUGUCUGCACAAGGAGCUGAAAACCUCAGGACAGAGAAUCUUGGGGUUCAUCCCCCACCCCCACUGCCACCCUCACCCCCUCCAGCCAGUUGGGCCCCCUCAGCACCAAGGGCCAGCUCCGGUUCCUUCAGCAACCCAGCUGAUGCCAGGCAGGCCCUGCUGGACGCCAUCCGCUCAGGCACAGGAGCUGCAAGAUUGAGAAAGGUGCCUUUGCUGGUGUGAAUCAUCAGGAAGACCAACCUGCAAGAUGCCCACAGGCACCGCUCUAGGACACCACGUGCAAAGGGCAUCAGGAUCCAAAAACUAUCUUGAAAAGGACAGCUGUUGUAUAAGUACCACACGCUAACCGAUUGAGCCACUGGAGCUCCUAGGACACUGCUGAGAUCAGUCCAGAGGUUAGUGGAAGGGCAAUCAGGGAAUGCACAUGAGGAUGCUAGCAGUAGAAAAGCCAGAGACACCCUGUGACUGGGGGGAGUGGCAUCUAACAGGGCAAAAGACCGGAAGUAGGGCCUGCCCUCUUCAGACAGACUGGAAAGCCUUAUUCUCCUCUCAGCAUUGACCCAUGUGUGCACAAGGGCCUUGCUUCAGUUGUAUAGAACAGUUUAUAUAUUUCAUUAAUCCAUAAUUAAUACCACUGUCCAUCUGCCUUGGGGUAAUACGCAGAUGUGGAAUCACAGGCAAGGACUAGCUGCAUCACAGGUGCGUCCAGAGAGGUAGAGAGGUUCACAGAACAGGCUCCCUGACUGCUGCAUGGAGAUAAACUGGCAACAAAAGCUAAGUCCUUUGGGGGGGGUGAUAGCUCACCUGAUAGAAUGCUCACUUUACCCACACCAAAGGCAUGGUCUUAAGCCUCUAGCCACAAUAUGGGGGCGGGCCCCUUCAGGGGGAAGAUCAUCCAGCAAUAAUGUGCUGUUUCCCCUUCUCUGCUUCUCACCCUAUAUGUAAAAAAAAAAAAAAAAAAAGACAGGGCUGGGUGUUGGCUGAAUGCACACAUUAUCAUGCACAAGGACUGGGCUUAAGCCUCCACUCUCUAUAUGCAGGGGCCUAGUUUCACAACUAGUGAAGCAAGGCAUAGCUUGACAAGUAGUGGGUGUCUUUGUCUCUCUCCUCACUUCAAUUUCUCUCUGUUCUAUAAACUAAAAAAAAAAAAAAAAAAAAAAAGGAAAAAUGGCCUUUGGGAGCAGUUGAUUCAUAUUGCUGGUACUGAGCCCCAAUGAUAACCCUGGUGGCAAUUAAAAAAGGGGUGGGGGGAACCGGGCUAUAGCACAGUGGGUUAAGUGCACAAGCAGAGGAUUCUUGGUGUAGAGACUGAGCCCCAGUGAUCACCCUGGCAGAAAAUAAUUUAAAAAAAAAAAAAAAAACAAAUGCCAGUUCUGGGGAAGAACACCUACUAUUUGGACCUCAUGGUCUCUGAGGCUUUAUCAGAGUUUCAGAUUUCCAGUAGGGCCUCUUGUCCACCUGCACCUGUUCUAUCUGAAAAUAAUAUGAUGUGUGGUGUAUCAUUGCUGUUUGUUGUCACUAAAUGAACAAGAACAAGAUUUGAGCUUUCUGUAUUUCAUGUAUUAAUAAGCAGGUUCAUCCCUGAUAAGAGUUUUAUAAGGGAUUUUUCUCCAUAACUCUUGAAAAAGCAGUUACUUUCUUUAUAAUGCAAAUCGACAUAGACACUGUCAUUUUUAAAAGCCAGAGCACCGAGUCCAUCUAUUUAAAAGCCUUUUGGUUUUCAGCAGCUGUCACCUCCUGGCACUUAUUUUUAAAUGUUGUGUGGCUGGGGAGGAAAAUUUCCAUGUAAUGAAAAUAAAAAUUAUAAGUAAAAAAACAUUUUCCUCUUAGGGACAGAAAGGACUAUGCUAUGACAAUAUUUAAAGUAAACCUUACUUGAGUAAAUAUUCCCAUGUAAUCAUCCAUAAGAUUUUUUUUCCCUUAGACAUACACUGUAUACCUUUCAUAAGUGGACUUUUGGUGGCAUUCCACUGAAAUGUCAUUUUAAAAACAAGCAGCAUUUAGGUAGUAAAUAUAGCCUGCUGCAGAUUCUCAGCAUAACUCAAUAUGAAAAUCUAACCACUUUGUUAAUUUCUAAUCUAGUAUUAAUUCCUUAGGGUUGAGUGGUGGCACACUUAGUAAACUGUCCACAUUACAAUGUGUGUUCAAGCCCCCCAGACUCUGCCUGUAAGAGAAAAGCUUCACAAACCAUGAAAUAAUGUUGCAUCUCUCUCUCUCUCUCUCUCUCCUCCUGUUUCUCCUUCUCUUUCUUUCUCCCACCAUCUCCCACAUCCCUCUCAGUUUCUGUCUCUAUACUAAAUAAAUUUUUUAAGUAUUACUUUCUUAAUUUUCACAUUUAGGAGAAACUGUCAGCACUGAUUGUCUUUUAAUUCAAUUAUUUUUAGCUGAGGCAAACAUAUCACUAGUUCUAUUAUAGAAGAAAUUUUCUUAGUUAUUUUAUUUGGAUUCAACAGUAGUAAUUAUAGGUUUCAAAUGAUGUAUUUUAUACCGUAUAACAAUUGUUAGCAUAAGACCCACAGGGAAAGAUUCUGGAUGAAAUCAACAUUUUCUGCCACUUGGGAGCAAAGGGAGCAAACAGGCUUGUUUGGGUAUGGAGAACAUGAUCCUAAACAUUCCUCCAUGGGAAUGUAGAAAUGCACUUUUAAUUUUUCUCCUAAUCAAAUUAUAGAAUUUGUAGGCCUGACCCUCUAGAAUAAGAAAUGUAUAUUUGGUUUGCAUCCACUUUUCCUGGUUUAGAGCUUUUAAGACUUUGUGAUUCCUUCCAUAAGAGAGCUAGAGGGAAUUUUGAUAUUUGAUUUUGUUGCCAGUUUCUGAAAAGCUCUAGGACAGUAGAGGUAAAAUGGAUGCCUUUUGCUAUUCACAUAACAAGCUCCUUUACACCACACAUGAACUUAAAUAUCAAUCAGGUUACUUGGAAAGUCCCUGUGGAUGGGGGGUUACCCAGAGAACUAACCUUGACUGGGGAGUUGGCACUUCCAGUCCCUUUCUCCCCUCUACCUGCCCCCUCAAAAAAAAAAAAAAAAAAAAAAAAACCCUCUGAGUGUGGGAGAGGUACUGCAAGCUGACUUCAGUCAUUAGAAACCAAUGCUUGAUUCACUCAUGCCCAUGUAAUGGAACUGCUGUGAAAGAAAGGCCCUGAUUUGGAGUUUCCUGGUUCAAAGCUACUCAUCCUAGGGAUCCUGAGUUAAUAGUUUUCUACAAUGCACUGGCAAUUGAGUGAAUAAACUGUUCCCUUGAGUUGCAUGAGCUACUUCAGCUAAUUCUUGGCAGAAAGUUUCUUAAUUGGGUUAAACUGUAGGUCAGUCAACUGGUAUAAUACAAUCCUGGGAAAUUAACUUGAGAAUGAGCCCCAGGUGAUGGAGAAAUCGCUCAGUCAUCCUGCAUUUGGGGAGCUUAUCUUACUGAAAAACUAAGAUGAAAUCAUGGAAAGUGUAGUAGCUGAAUGAUGCCUUUUGAUUUGAUGCAUGUAUAGUCAUUCCUCAGUACUAAUAAGGAAUAGAUUACAACUCCCCUGAGGGACAUCCCUGAGGGUCAUGUCCAUAGCAUAAGGUGACUCAGUAACUGCAUAUAAACUAAACACACAUGCCUAUACACUUUAAAGGUGGAGAGCAGGGGCUCAAACCCGGGUACUCACACAUAGUAAUGUGUGCACUCAACCAGAUUCACCACCACCCAAUCUUCACUGGCAUUCUUUAUGUCACCCUUUCAUUCAACAAGCACAUGUGGUACUUCAAUGUUGCUUCUCUGGAGGAGAGUAGAGGCCCAGCCUAGCCCCCAGAAUGCAGGCAUAAGAGGAAGGAAGUUCUGCUGUCUGAGUGGGAAAACUUCUGAACCCUGAACUCAGUACU